UACAGAGGUCCCAAGCGUUGUUCGGAUUCAUUGGGCGUAAAGGGUGCGUAGGCGGCGCGGUAAGUCGGGUGUGAAAACUCUAGGCUCAACCUAGAGACGCCACCUGAUACUGCCGUGGCUAGAGUCCGGUAGGGGAGCAUGGAAUUCCUGGUGUAGCGGUGAAAUGCGCAGAUAUCAGGAGGAACACCAGUGGCGAAGGCGGUGCUCUGGGCCGGAACUGACGCUGAGGAGCGAAAGCGUGGGGAGCAAACAGG
rnacentral:rRNA from 1 species